rnacentral:rRNA from 1 species
AUGGGGAACGCACACCAUCGGCACGCCGCACACCAGGCUCUCCAUCACCGAGUUCCAUCCACAAUGCGUCACGAAGCAGCCCACCGCCGCGUGCGAGAGCACCCGCACCUGGUCGCACCACUCCACCACCAUGCCGUUCCUGAGCCGCGCGUUCGUCUCGGGCUCCCGCGUCGCCUCGCCAUCGGCGAACUCGGCCUUGACGUCCUUCCGGACGACGCAGAGGUAAGGCCUCCCGCUCUGCUCGAGGUCGAGGAGCAGCUCGUCGAGCUGCUCCCUGUCCAUCCCCGCCCGGCUCCCGAACGCGACGUACACCACGGAAUCGGCCGGCUUGGUAUCGAGCCACUCCAUGUACUUGGCGCCGUCCUGCUUGAAGAGGCCGGUCUCGUCGCCGGACGGGGGCACUGGGCCAAUCGGCAGCGCGUUGUACGCUCCCAUGGCGGCGAGCGCGCUCACCUCGAGUUCCUGGCACGUGUUGACGAGCACGUUUGCUCUGGGGGUUUCCCUGUCGAGCGUGUGGAACAGGUCGCGGAUGGUAGUGUAGAUGCUGUGGUAGAACUCGGAGGGGUCGGUGGACUCCGUGAUGAUGGACGGGAGGUCCUGCACGGCCAGCGGAGGGAGGCCCGGGAGCCGCACGAUGAACGACGGGUCGUGGCGGUUGUCGGUCACGACGCCGGCGUGGCCGUAGAAGAAAUGGUAGUAGACGGCCAACACGGCAGCCGGCUGGAUCCAGUAGAGCGCGGACGGCACGCCUUUCUCGCGCGCGACGUCAGCGGCCCACGGGAGGAGCAUCGUGUAGACGACGCGGGUCACGGGGCGGCCGCGCGCGGCGAGCGCGUCCACCAGCUCCCCGACGCUGCGCGCGCCCGCGGCGUGGAAGGACGCAAUGUAGUCGGUGCACGCCGCGGGGUCGGUGGUCCUGUCGUACCCGUUGUCGAAGCCGUCCGAGAACGGGAGGAACUCGAGGCGGCCGUCGCCGCCGUCGGGCGCGUCCGCCUCCGCCGGGAACAUGCGGCGGUGCGCGGUCACGGUGGUGGAGAACGUGACGAGCGCGCCAGGCGCAGCGGCGAGCAGGCGCCGGGCGAGGCGGAGCGCCGGCGCGAUGUGUCCCUGGAGCGGGUACGUGAGCACGAGGAAGUGCGGCUGCGGAGGCAUGCUUGUCCCCCUUUCCUGAGGCUGACUCGCGUGGCUUUCGCGUAG